rnacentral:rRNA from 1 species
UCCGUUGAUCCUGCGGAAGGUUGCUGCUAUCAGAAUUCGACUAAGCCAUGCAAGUCAGGGGGUAGCAAUACCACCGGCAAAUCGCUCAGUAACACGUCGUUAACUUGCCCUUAGAUCUGGGAUAGCCUUGGGAAACUGAGGGUAAAACCGGAUAGGAGAGUUCUUCUGGAACGAUUUCUCUCCCAAAAGUAAUGUCUAAGGAUAGGACGGUGGCGGAUUAGGUUGUUGGUGAGGUAAAGGCUCACCAAGCCCAAGAUCCGUACGGGCCUUGAGAGAGGUAGCCCGGAGAAGGACACUGAGAUACUGGUCCUAGCCCCACGGGGUGCAGCAGGCGCGAAACCUUUACAAUGCACGAAAGUGUGAUAAGGGGAUUCUGAGUGCUCAUGUUAAACAUGGGCUUUUGCCAAGAGUAAAUAUCUUGGAGAAUAAGUGGUGGGCAAGACUGGUGCCAGCCGCCGCGGUAACACCAGCGCCACAAGUGGGAGCCACUUUUAUUGGGCCUAAAGCGUCCGUAGCUGGCUGUAUAAAUCCUUUGUGAAAUCGACAAGCUCAACUUGUCGGCAUGCAUAGGAGACUGUACAGCUUGAAACCGGGAGGAGUAAGAAGUAUUCUGUGGGGAGCGGUAAAAUGCUAUAAUCCUCAGAGGACUACCUGUGGCGAAGGCGUCUUACUAGAACGGAUUUGACAGUGAGGGACGAAGGCUAGGGGAGCGAUCCGGAUUAGAUACCCGAGUAGUCCUAGCAGUAAACGCUGCCAACUAGGUGUUGCACAUUCUACGCGAAUGUGCAGUGUCGGAGCGAAGGUGUUAAGUUGGCCGCCUGGGAAGUAUGGUCGCAAGACUGAAACUUAAAGGAAUUGGCGGGGGAGCACUACAAGGGGUGCGGCGUGCGGUUUAAUCCAAUUCAACGCGGAAAAUCUCACCAGAGGCGACGGCAGGAUGAAGGUCAGGUUGAAGAUCUUACCAGACGAGCCGAGAGGUAGUGCAUGGCCGCCGUCAGCUCGUGCCGUAAGGUGUCCUGUUAAGUCAGGCAACGAGCGAGACCUAUGCCCAUAAUUGCCAGCAACUCUGUCGGAGGUUUGGGCACAUUAUGGGAACUGCCCUGGAAACAGGGAGGAAGGUGUAGGCUACGGUAGGUCUGUAUGCUCCGAAUCUUCUGGGCUACACGCGCGCAACAAUGGUAAGGACAAAGGGAUACAACUCCGAAAGGAGAAGUUAAACCUCUAAACCUUAUCUCAGUACAAAUUGAGGGCUGUAACUCGCCCUCAUGACGCUGGAAUCCCUAGUAAUCGGACGUCAUCAUCGUCCGGUGAAUGUGUCCCUGCUCCUUGCACACACCGCCCGUCAAACCACUCGAGCAGGGUUUAGGUGAGUCUCAACUUUCUUGGUUGAGCCGAAUCUAAGCUCAGUGAGAUGGGUUAAGUCGUCACAAGGUA